rnacentral:piRNA from 1 species
UGCCUUUAAUCAAGAGGAUGAAGGGGAUC